GGUCAGCCUUAGUCACGUCGGUGCGUUUGUCCGGAGUGGGCGGGGCUAUCGUGACGUCAGUACGUCAACUGUGAUCCGUGAAGAAGUGGAGUAGUUGCCUUUGAAGUUAUUCUGAAUCCUGUUCACGUGUUGAUGAUGUCAUCAGUGAAAGUGGAGACCGUUGUGAAGGUUGGCGCUCUGAUUGGUGAAGGGCCGGUGUGGGAGGAGUCAGAGCAGACGCUGCUGUUUGUCGACAUCGCAGGACAGAAAAUUCACCGCUGGAGUCCGAUGACUAAUCAGAUCAACUCUGUGGAGACAAGUGACACGGUGGGCUUCGCGGUUCCUCGCAGGUCAGGUGGUUACAUCGCAGGAGUCGGUCGCAGCAUCGUUGCUGUUGAUUGGCCAACUCAGGGGAUGACAUCAUUGCUAGAGGUCGAUGGGGACAAACCAAACAACCGACUGAAUGACGGGAAGGUCGAUCCAAUUGGACGGCUGCUGGCAGGUUCGAUGGGGAGAGAGGCAGUAGCUGAAAGACAACAAGGAUCUCUGUUUUCUGUGACCUCUGACCUCACCUUGACUAAACACCUGAGCCAGGUGGACAUAUCUAAUGGGAUGGACUGGUCUUUGGAUCAGAAGACAUUUUUCUACAUCGACAGUUUGGCUCUGACGGUUGACGCGUUCGACUACGACCUGUCCACUGGUCACCUUGGUAACCGUCGUGUGGUGUACCGUAUGGAGGAGGGGGAGGGACUUCCUGAUGGAAUGACCGUGGAUCUGGAAGGUCGUCUGUGGGUCGCCUGUUACAACGCAGGACAAGUCAUCAACAUCGACCCAACUACUGUCAGGUGUGAGGCUGCGUUCGGUCUCUUUUCCUGUGAGGAAAACCACUUCCUGUUGUUUUGGUGGUCUGGAUUUCUCUGACCUCUAUGUGACCUCAGCCAGUCUGGGCCUUAACCAGUCAGAGAUGACACAUCAGGUGGAGGCGGGACACACCUUCAGGGUGACCGGGCUUGGGGUUAAAGGUCGUCCUCCAUGUGUGUUCUCUGGAUGAUCUUGAGGCUCAAGCAGCCAAUAGCAGCACAGAUAACCUGAUAAUAUUAAACUGGAUGUUUGGAAUGAUAGGGUUAGGGUCACCGGGAUCAUUUUGUUGCUGUUUGAAAAUAAAGGAUGAGCCAUUCAAAGUUAA